rnacentral:rRNA from 1 species
AUUGAACGCUGGCGGCAGGCUUAACACAUGCAAGUCGAACGGUAGCAGGAGAAAGCUUGCUUUCUUGCUGACGAGUGGCGGACGGGUGAGUAAUGCUUGGGAAUCUGGCUUAUGGAGGGGGAUAACGACGGGAAACUGUCGCUAAUACCGCGUAUUAUCGGAAGAUGAAAGUGCGGGACUGAGAGGCCGCAUGCCAUAGGAUGAGCCCAAGUGGGAUUAGGUAGUUGGUGGGGUAAAGGCCUACCAAGCCUGCGAUCUCUAGCUGGUCUGAGAGGAUGACCAGCCACACUGGAACUGAGACACGGUCCAGACUCCUACGGGAGGCAGCAGUGGGGAAUAUUGCGCAAUGGGGGGAACCCUGACGCAGCCAUGCCGCGUGAAUGAAGAAGGCCUUCGGGUUGUAAAGUUCUUUCGGUAUUGAGGAAGGUUGAUGUGUUA